rnacentral:rRNA from 1 species
GACGAACGCUGGCGGCGUGCUUAACACAUGCAAGUCGAACGGAAAGGCCCUGCUUUUGUGGGGUGCUCGAGUGGCGAACGGGUGAGUAACACGUGAGUAACCUGCCCUUGACUUUGGGAUAACUUCAGGAAACUGGGGCUAAUACCGGAUAGGAGCUCCUGCUGCAUGGUGGGGGUUGGAAAGUUUCGGCGGUUGGGGAUGGACUCGCGGCUUAUCAGCUUGUUGGUGGGGUAGUGGCUUACCAAGGCUUUGACGGGUAGCCGGCCUGAGAGGGUGGCCGGCCACAUUGGGACUGAGAUACGCCCCAGACUCCUACGGGAGGCAGCAGUGGGGAAUAUUGCACAAUGGGCGGAAGCCUGAGGCAGCAACGCCGGGUGCGGGAUGACGGCCUUCGGGUUGUAAACCGCUUUCGCCUGUGACGAAGCGUGAGUGACGGUAAUGGGUAAAGAAGCACCGGCUAACUACGUG